GCAGUAGUAGUAUAGUGGUUAGUAUCUGAGCUUCCCAAGCUUAGGAUCCGGGUUCAAUUCCCGGCUACUGCA
rnacentral:tRNA from 1 species